AAUAUAUAGGGUGAUUAAUUUUCUACUUAAAUAUCAAACUAAUCGGAUUGAUAUUGUCUUUAUAGUAUAGAUAAAUUAAUCUAUGGGCUGUGAAAAUGAAUUCUACCGUCGGGUAUCAUCUGCUGAUAGGUUAUAGUACAGAAACGUUAUCUGAAUGUAAAACUGACGUUGCGGUCACGUUAUAUAAGAUACGACCAUGUAAGAUUAUGUUUUGGUACCUAAAAAAUGUAUGUUUAUUAUUGGAUAUGUUAAGUACGUGGUAAACACGACUCAACCCUUCCUUUACAUAUUUAUUUCCAGACCCCUAAAUUUACAAACUAGUGCAAAAUCGCAUCAGUGAUUUUCAACAGUUUACAUAUCGAAUUCAACUUGAUAAAUUUGAAUUUUCAAUCGGUCUUCUCUAAAGUUCGAAAUGUUCCCAGUCCACUGGAAAUGAUGAAGUUUAAAAGAAAAAUAUUUGUCAUCAGAGACAAACCAGAUCUAGUUGACUUUUUCGAGAUACAUAAAAAAAUAGUAAAUUCGUGAUGGGAAUUUCUAUCGACGUGUAAAGGGUUAAUAUAUCAAUCUCAGUGGCGAACUAUUAUAUAUAUAUAUAUGCUACUUAAUUAGUUAAUUAUAUAUACUACAGCGGAGUCCAGUUAUUACUACUUCGCUUGCAACGAUCGACCGCACGUUACAUCCCCCUUGUCCAAGUUUGGUUAGAAUAUAAGGACGUUCCUAUGUAUUCUCAUUUUGCUUGUUAAGUCGUUGGUCUAGUACGUCAUUUCCUUGUCCCUUGAACGUCGUUAUAAACGGACUGCACUGUAUAUAUAUUCCGAAUGAAAUAUAUCGAUAUAAUCGAGUUCUAAAAAGGUCAAUCGAACAGUAUAUAAAUUUUCACAGACACGUGGAGUUUAAAGAAAAUUUCAUAAUCAGAUCUACAGUACGUUUAAUUAUACAAAAUAAUUUGAGAACUCCAAAAGUAUUCUUCGCGUUUGAUAUAUCUCUAAGGACUGGACUCUUUCACAAUUCCAUUAUAAGUUUCGACAGUGGAAACUUUUACACGACUAAAUGGAUUGACAAUUUCAUUUUUUACAGUCAUUAUAUCACAAUAGUAGAGAAAAAUUUAUUCCACGCUGCUGUCAUUCUUUCCAUUAUGAUUUCAAUCUGUACUCUGCCCAUUGAAGAACCUCAAAGAUGAAUAAUUAUACCCAAAGAAAGAACCAGCUGAAUUGUAUCAUUAAUAAUAAUAAAAUUACCGCAAACUCAAUCUCUCAUCUGCAAAACGAAUACAUACAGAGCUUUAACUUGCGCAAUCAAGUGUAAUAUACGUGCACGCAACCGUCUAAGAAGGUAAGUAUAAUUACACUGAGGGGGUAGAUUGAGAAUUUAAAUCAGCCAGUACGUAUGCCGUAGUACCUCAAUGUGGGGAUAUUUGAAAUAUUUGAUUACAAAGAAAUCUCAAGCAAUUCACUUGUUCAUCAGUGAAUGACAACUUGGUAAGAGCAAAGUUAUUUUCAAAUCACAAUGAUAAUCAAAUCAAAAUUUCAUAUAUAUAUAUGUAAUUACAUAUGCAUAUACUAUAUACACAUAAUAUAUAACGUAAAAUCAAAGUCUCUCGACGUGUUUAGUUAUGCACUAGUGCAUUGAUCUCAGAUCGCAACCCGCGUAAUUAACUCGUAAUAUAUAUCUAUGGUUAGAAGCACGGCGUUACGUAAUGUCGAUAUCUCUGUCUACAACUCUAUGUAUACCACUGUAGGACUUCGCCACUCCACAGUCUGUCGUUCUAGGGAUUCCCCCCACUUCUUCCCAGCCAACCAGCAUCCCUGUCCGACACUCUCUUGUUCAUAGAUUCUCUGGACGAAGCGACUGGUCCGUAGACCGAUUAGGCUAGUUACACUCUUUCAGCUGUUCCCAAGUGCUGUUUUUUCUCUUUCUUACGAUCCUGCGAGACAACGAAGCACGUUUAAAUGUUAUCCUACGACGGCAGUACACAGGAAGCGUCACCAGCAGCUAAUGAGAAAGUUGCGAUGGUCUUAUCAAUCGAUCGAUAAUUAUCAUUAGACAGUCACUCGAUUCCGCGGCUAUACACGGACUUCUUGCUUUCGUUCUCAAUCCAGCGAAUGUAUUGACUCCGAUCUAGCGUUGCAAUUGCAAUUGCGGUUGCAGACACAGCUGCAAGUCGUUUCCUGGUUCGACGGUUGAAACAUAGUGCACAGAACCAGUCCGUGACGUCACGAGCUCGCGAGCAUGGCAGAGCUUAGGAUGAUUUCCGGGUUCGAGUCUCGGCUUCGUGCCCGCCUUUGAUUUAUUAAAUGCAGAAAUCACACACGCGGUUAACCCUGCUGGGUGUAUCGCGAACUAAGAGCACCGACCAUGUUGCGGAAUUCUGAUCUAUCGAAGAAAAAGGAUUACACUCGACGAAAUACGUCGUAUGCGGAAACGGGAAGAAACAGAAUAUAAAGAAGUUGAACGAGCGGUAAAGAAGAGUUCGGUCUGGUGUCGGUGUCUCAGGUGCUUCUACUCCGUGGUUAAAGAAGUUUGCAUGCUGAGCUGCGUCAGAAGAAUCGGACCUUAUGGUACCAGAAACGAGUGAAAACUUUGACAAGCGUGAUCAAAAGUGAUGCAGUUAACACGUAGAUUUCAUCAGCAAGAAACUUUUCGAAGAAGAAGACGCCCGCAAGGCAAUAGGCACUCCCGUGUAACGAAUAAUCGAUAACGAAGCUUCGCUGUACCCUUAUCUUCACGUUGAAUCUCAAGCCUCUCAAUGUGCUACCUGGUAAUUAUAGCUAAUAAAGGGAAAAAAAAAGAAACGACGCUGUUCAAGGAGAUGGUAAUAAAGCAAUUUCUUCAAAGUAUAUACCAACGUAUAGCAACUCGUUCAACAAUAUCCAGCAUAGAUUGGGAGAGGCCAUGGAUCUUGACGGUGUUGCUACGUUUACUGCUGGACCAACGAGAACCACCAUCGUUACCACCCCCGACGCUCAACUUCAUACUGCUCUGCGGGACGCCUGGCGUCUACACACUUUCUCUACUUCUCUCGUCUCGCGGUCUAUAAUCUUACAGAGAUUGGAGUAUAGAUAUACUGGUGUAAAGAUACAUACGAAAAUGUUGAAGAGAAGUAAGAGAGAACCUGCUGCGUCGCUUGAGACUUCCAGCCUCCGAGAUCCCUUGCAUUGUUGAGUAUAAUGGAGGCUGGUGGACCAAUGGGAAAGAAAGGAAGAAAGAGAUACACUGAAAGGAAAAGGGAGUUAAAACAGGAGAGCGAAAAAAGAUAUAGAAUAUAGAACAGAUGUUAUUGGUUUAGACAAAUUUUCAUUGGACGAAAUAUAAUAACUGUUAAAUAUUUUAUGUCGUAAUGAUACAUUGCAAUGUGUUUCUAUGAAUUUUCUAUAAUACCGUAGAAAAAUGAAUGGGGAAUACUGAUGACGUUAUCAACAUUUAUAGAUAGCAAUUCGGAUAAUGUGAUACUUGAAUUAUUAACUGUGUAUUCGUAUACUGACGCAACGAUUUUACUUCUCGGAUAUAGGGUUUAUGAAAUAUUAAUUAUUUUCAUUAAUAAUUAUUUCAGAGGAAUUUAUAUAUUAUUUAUAUGUAAUGCUAGAGCGUUACACGUUAAUGGUAUUAUUUAAGACUGUUAUUUAAGACUGCUAAUAUUUUUUUUUUAUGGAAAAUGUGCGGCUGCUGUGGCGAGAUUUAGUAUUUUUAUAUGAACAAAUUGAUUAGCGAAUUUGUCAUAGAUAAUCGAAUAGGUAUAAGAACUUUGAUUAUUUUAUAUACUAAUUGUAGGCUACAUAAUACAGCAGUUUAUUGGAAAUCAUUUAUAGAAGUGAUAACCCACGUAUCCUUUUCACCUUAAAUGUUCACUUUCGUUAGUAUAAUUUACUUUAAGAUUCUUUAGGUAAUUAAUAUCCGACUUGACGUCAUCUUUCGAAUCUCCUCGAUUCGGAUUAACCUAUAGUUUGGAGUAUUUGAUAAAAUAUUAUUAGGAAAUUGACGUUGAUUACAGACGGUUUUAAGGUAACGGCAAAACUAUGCGAAUAUACUAAUUGUAAGUUAAUUUUAUUCUCUAAGUAAAGUGGGUGAGAAUCCAUCCAAAUGGAAUGAUUAAUAUAAAAAAAAAGAUAAACUGAAAAAACCACAGAUACAGUAAUGGAGUAGAUACUAACUAUAGAUGAUCAAAAUGUUACCGUUGGAUGAAGUAAAAGCAAUGAGGAAAAGUGCAAAGUUAGGAAAACUCAGAAGCAAUAAAUCUUAGUACUCCUAUAAAAUAACCUACAGUCCUGUCGAUAUGUCACGUUACGUCUAGAGAAUUGAACUCGAAUUCAGCUCUGCGAUAUGAGGAUCUUUGGCUAAAUUUAAGAAACCGAACACAAACUCCUUGUAGAGUGAAAGACUUCGAAUCUUCUAAAUAUAAUUUCAGAUGGUUUUCAUGCACUCGAAUUGUACAAUAAGUUCAUACGUCUGAACUUACAAGGAAACCCCCCCAACCCGACCCCACCGAUUUCAAUAAUUUUUUGAUAUGUUGUAGUACU